UACGAGGGGGGCGAGCGUUGCUCGGAAUGACUGGGCGUAAAGGGCGCGUAGGCGGAUUGUACAGUCAGGCGUGAAAUUCCCGGGCUCAACCUGGGGGCUGCGCUUGAGACGUGCGAUCUUGAGUGGGGAAGAGGGUCGUGGAAUUCCCAGUGUAGAGGUGAAAUUCGUAGAUAUUGGGAAGAACACCGGUGGCGAAGGCGGCGACCUGGUCCUUGACUGACGCUGAGGCGCGAAAGCGUGGGGAGCAAACAGG
rnacentral:rRNA from 1 species